CCUACGGGAGGCAGCAGUGGGGAAUAUUGCACAAUGGGGGAAACCCUGAUGCAGCGACGCCGCGUGAGUGAAGAAGUAAUUCGUUAUGUAAAGCUCUAUCAGCAGGGAAGAAAAUGACGGUACCUGAGUAAGAAGCCCCGGCGAACGACGUGCCAGCAGCCGCGGUAAUACGUAGGGGGCAAGCGUUAUCCGGAUUUACUGGGUGUAAAGGGGGCGUAGACGGCAGGGCAAGUCUGGAGUGAAAGGCGGGGGCCCAACCCCCGGACUGCUCUGGAAACGGUACGGCUGGAGUGCAGGAGCGUUAACUGGCAUUCCUAGUGUAGCGGUGAAAUGCGUGCAUAUUAGGAGGAACCCCAGUGGCGACGGCGGCUUCCUGUACUGUAACUGACGUUGCGGCUCGACCGCGUGGGGAGCAAACAGGAUUAGAUACCCCAGUAGUC
rnacentral:rRNA from 1 species